UGGGGAAUAUUGCACAAUGGGCGCAAGCCUGAUGCAGCCAUGCCGCGUGUAUGAAGAAGGCCUUCGGGUUGUAAAGUACUUUCAGUCGGGAGGAAGGUGGUAAGGUUAAUAACCUUAUCAAUUGACGUUACCGACAGAAGAAGCACCGGCUAACUCCGUGCCAGCAGCCGCGGUAAUACGGAGGGUGCAAGCGUUAAUCGGAAUUACUGGGCGUAAAGCGCACGCAGGCGGUCUGUCAAGUCGGAUGUGAAAUCCCCGGGCUCAACCUGGGAACUGCAUUCGAAACCGGCAGGAUAGAGUCUUGUAGAGGGGGGUAGAAUUCCAGGUGGAGCGGUGAAAAGCGUAGAGAUCUGGAGGAAUACCGGUGGGGAAGGCGGCCCCCUGGACAAAGACUGACGCUCAGGUGCGAAAGCGUGGGGAGCAAACAGG
rnacentral:rRNA from 1 species